UACGUAGGGGGCUAGCGUUGUCCGGAUUUAUUGGGCGUAAAGAGCGUGUAGGCGGCCAGGUAGGUCUGCUGUGAAAACUCGAGGCUCAACCUCGAGACGUCGGCGGAAACCAUCUGGCUAGAGUCCGGAAGAGGAGAGUGGAAUUCCUGGUGUAGCGGUGAAAUGCGCAGAUAUCAGGAGGAACACCGGUGGCGAAGGCGGCAUCCUGGACCGGCAUUGACGCUGAGGCGCGAAAGCUAGGGGAGCAAACGGG
rnacentral:rRNA from 1 species